rfam:Oryza glumipatula chromosome 3, whole genome shotgun sequence.
AAAAAGGCAAACUCUACGUUUCCGUGUCCAACUUUGAUUGUCCGUCUUAUAUGAAAUUUUUUUAUAAUUUGUAUUUUCAUUGUUGUUAGAUGAUAAAACAUGAUUAAUAUUUUAUGCCUGACUUGUCUUUUUAUUUUUUUUUUUCAUAAUUUUUUUAAAUAAGACGGACGGUCAAACGUUGGACACGGAAACUAGGGUUUGUCUUUUU